CUGGGAUGCUGGUUUAAGCUGGUCCUAUGCUGGUCCUUUGCUGGUUUAUGCUGGUCCUUUGCUGGUUUAUGCUGGUCCUUUGCUGGUUUAUGCUGGUCCUUUGCUGGUUUAUGCUGGUCCUUUGCUGGUUUAUGCUGGUCCUUUGCUGGUUUAUGCUGGUCCUUUGCUGGUUUAUGCUGGUCCUUUGCUGGUUUAUGCUGGUCCUUUGCUGGUUUAUGCUGGUCCUUUGCUGGUUUAUGCUGGUCCUUUGCUGGUUUAUGCUGGUCCUUUGCUGGUUUAUGCUGGUUUAUGCUUGGUUUAUGCUGGUCCUUUGCUGGUUUAUGCUGGUUUAUACUGGUCCUUUGCUGGUUUAUGCUGGUCCUUUGCUGGUUUAUGCUGGUUUAUGCUUGGUUUAUGCUGGUCCUUUGCUGGUUUAUGCUGGUUUAUACUGGUCCUUUGCUGGUUUAUACUGGUCCUUUGCUGGUUUAUGCUGGUCCUUUGCUGGUUUAUGCUGGUCCUUUGCUGGUUUAUGCUGGUCCUUUGCUGGUUUAUGCUGGUCCUUUGCUGGUUUAUGCUGGUCCUUUGCUGGUUUAUGCUGGUCCUUUGCUGGUUUAUGCUGGUCCUUUGCUGGUUUAUGCUGGUCCUUUGCUGGUUUAUGCUGGUCCUUUGCUGGUUUAUGCUGGUCCUUUGCUGGUUUAUGCUGGUCCUUUGCUGGUUUAUGCUGGUCCUUUGCUGGUUUAUGCUGGUCCUUUGCUGGUUUAUGCUGGUCCUUUGCUGGUUUAUGCUGGUCCUUUGCUGGUUUAUGCUGGUCCUUUGCUGGUUUAUGCUGGUCCUUUGCUGGUUUAUGCUGGUCCUUUGCUGGUUUAUGCUGGUCCUUUGCUGGUUUAUGCUGGUCCUUUGCUGGUUUAUGCUGGUCCUUUGCUGGUUUAUGCUGGUCCUUUGCUGGUUUAUGCUGGUCCUUUGCUGGUUUAUGCUGGUCCUUUGCUGGUUUAUGCUGGUCCUUUGCCAGCACAUGACCAGCAUAAACCAGCAAAAGGACCAGCAUAAACCAGCAUCAAAACAUACCUAACCAGCAUAUGCUGUUUUUUU
rnacentral:lncRNA from 1 species